rnacentral:rRNA from 1 species
GACGAACGCUGGCGGCGUGCUUAACACAUGCAAGUCGAACGGAAAGGCCCUGCUUUUGUGGGGUGCUCGAGUGGCGAACGGGUGAGUAACACGUGAGUAACCUGCCCUUGACUUUGGGAUAACUUCAGGAAACUGGGGCUAAUACCGGAUCGGAGCUCCUGCUGCAUGGUGGGGGUUGGAAAGUUUCGGCGGUUGGGGCUGGACUCGCGGCUUAUCAGCUUGUUGGUGGGGUAGUGGCUUACCAAGGCUUUGACGGGUAGCCGGCCUGAGCGGGUGACCGGCCACAUUGGGACUGAGAUACGGCCCAGACUCCUACGGGAGGCAGCAGUGGGGAAUAUUGCACAAUGGGCGGAAGCCUGAUGCAGCAACGCCGCGUGCGGGAUGACGGCCUUCGGGUUAUAAACCGCUUUCGCCUGUGACGAAGCGUGAGUGACGGUAAUGGGUAAAGAAGCACCGGCUAACUACGUG